rnacentral:rRNA from 1 species
UACGGAGGGUGCAAGCGUUUGUCCGGAAUCACUGGGCGUAAAGGGCGCGUAGGCGGCUCAUGAAGCUGUGGUGAAAGUCCGGGGCUCAACCUUGGAAUUGCCUUUGAUACUGGCUGUCUUGAGUUGGGAGAGGUGGAGUGGAAUGCCGAGUGUAGAGGUGAAAUCGUAGAUAUUCGGAAGAACACCAGUGGCGAAGGCGACAUACUGGUCCAUUACUGACGCUGAGGCUCGAA